rnacentral:rRNA from 1 species
GACGAACGCUGGCGGCGUGCUUAACACAUGCAAGUCGAACGGAAAGGCCCUGCUUUUGUGGGGUGCUCGAGUGGCGAACGGGUGAGUAACACGUGAGUAACCUGCCCUUGACUUUGGGAUAACUUCAGGAAACUGGGGCUAAUACCGGAUAUGAGCUCCUGCUGCAUGGUGGGGGUUGGAAAGUUUCGGCGGUUGGGGAUGGACUCGCGGCUUAUCAGCUUGUUGGUGGGGUAGUGGCUUACCAAGGCUUUGACGGGUAGCCGGCCUGAGAGGGUGACCGGCCACAAUGGGACUGAGAGACGGCCCAGACUCCUACGGGAGGCAGCAGUGGGGAAUAUUGCACAAUGGGCGGAAGCCUGAGGCAGAAACGCCGCGUGCGGGAUGACGGCCUUCGGGUUGUAAACCGCUUUCGCCUGUGACGAAGCGUGAGUGACGGUAAUGGGUAAAGAAGCACCGGCUAACUACGUG